UCAGUCCGUUCGCUGGUUCAGUUCAUUUAGAAAAUAUCAUGGCCGACAAGUUAGUCGACCAUUAUAUGAAAUAAGAAUUGAAGGAAGAACGCGGUGCAGUUCUCAAUAUGUUUAACAAAGACCCUAUCUGACCAAUCAAGGAACAGAUAAAAGAUGCAAGGGAACACAACUGCUGUGCUUGUUGCUUUGUCGGCUUGUAACCAAUGAACUCCUCAAGAAAGAAGUUACUGUUUUGGUGGAAUUUUUUUGUGAUUGUCUGAAGGAUCAUUUCUCUCUGGCUCCUCAUGCCUUCUCUGGUUUAUUGGCUUUGGUAAGCUAUAAGGUGAUUCAAGAAGGAUUAACUGUUAGGAUAGUUCAAGCAAUUUUCAAAGAGAUUCAUGUACAGGAUCCAAGAAACUUGCUGGUUUGUUUCAAGCUUGUUCAAAUCAUCGUAAAGAGAUUUCCUAUUCGUAUGAAAAAUAAUUAGGACGAAUUUCUUGUAAGCAAAUACCCUGGCUAUUCUAUCCCAUAGCACUUUGCAAAUUUGUCUUUUUUGAUGAGAGCUAUGUCCGUCUCGUGAUUACUACAUUUGAAACACAUUCAGUUAUGCUUAAAAAGUAUGGUGGCUUGGAGAGCUUUCUUGGGCAUCGUGCAUUCUCAUAGUUGCCCGUUGUAGGCUUGUAGCUAAUGUUUCUUAAUCAACUGUCCGGAUACACUAUGAAUGAAGCCCAAUAGACAGUCACGAGCAUUUAAUUUUGGCUUCAGACGUAGCAAAUAAAUAAAGUUGACGUUACGUGGCUCAAGUGAUGUGGUUCAUACUGCUUGAAUUUGCUGUAAAACUAUAUGCAUCUUACGCAAGACGUGUUUACAUUUCCCCACCAUGACCAGUUGGAUUUUGUGAAUGACUUGGAAGAUGUUGUUUUUUUGAAAUACAUGUGUUGGCCAUGUCUACGACCGGCGACUACAUGCACGUAUUCAAUAACCGAACCAUUCUACACAAACAGCGCUACGGCCGCAUUUUGUUGUGAUCUAUGAUCGGGCGAAUUGAUUAAGACCAUGCAGGCAGCACAAACAAGAUGAACGCGAGAGUAAAAUCUGCUCAAUAUCGUCUUCAUCGUCGUCUCCAUCAUUUCCUGUAAAACAUGUUGGACGUAUCCAACAUUUCCUGUAAAGCGUGAUCGACGCAUCC